UCCAGGCGUCGAGCGGCGGACGGGUGAGUAAUGCAUAGGAAUCUGCCCGAUAGUGGGGGAUAACCUGGGGAAACCCAGGCUAAUACCGCAUACGUCCUACGGGAGAAAGCAGGGGAUCUUCGGACCUUGCGCUAUCGGAUGAGCCUAUGUCGGAUUAGCUAGUUGGUGAGGUAACGGCUCACCAAGGCCGCGAUCCGUAGCUGGUCUGAGAGGAUGAUCAGCCACAUCGGGACUGAGACACGGCCCGAACUCCUACGGGAGGCAGCAGUGGGGAAUAUUGGACAAUGGGCGAAAGCCUGAUCCAGCCAUGCCGCGUGUGUGAAGAAGGCUUUCGGGUUGUAAAGCACUUUCAGUGGGGAAGAAAUCCUCGGGGCCAAUACCCUCGAGGGAGGACAUCACCCACAGAAGAAGCACCGGCUAACUCCGUGCCAGCAGCCGCGGUAAUACGGAGGGUGCGAGCGUUAAUCGGAAUUACUGGGCGUAAAGCGCGCGUAGGCGGCGUGAUAAGCCGGUUGUGAAAGCCCCGGGCUCAACCUGGGAACGGCAUCCGGAACUGUCAGGCUAGAGUGCAGGAGAGGAAGGUAGAAUUCCCGGUGUAGCGGUGAAAUGCGUAGAGAUCGGGAGGAAUACCAGUGGCGAAGGCGGCCUUCUGGACUGACACUGACGCUGAGGUGCGAAAGCGUGGGUAGCAAACAGGAUUAGAUACCCUGGUAGUCCACGCCGUAAACGAUGUCGACUAGCCGUUGGGGUCCUUGUGACCUUUGUGGCGCAGUUAACGCGAUAAGUCGACCGCCUGGGGAGUACGGCCGCAAGGUUAAAACUCAAAUGAAUUGACGGGGGCCCGCACAAGCGGUGGAGCAUGUGGUUUAAUUCGAUGCAACGCGAAGAACCUUACCUACUCUUGACAUCGUGCGAACUUUCCAGAGAUGGAUUGGUGCCUUCGGGAACGCACAGACAGGUGCUGCAUGGCCGUCGUCAGCUCGUGUUGUGAAAUGUUGGGUUAAGUCCCGUAACGAGCGCAACCCUUGUCCCUAUUUGCCAGCGAUUCGGUCGGGAACUCUAGGGAGACUGCCGGUGACAAACCGGAGGAAGGUGGGGACGACGUCAGGUCAUCAUGGCCCUUACGAGUAGGGCUACACACGUGCUACAAUGGCCGGUACAAAGGGUUGCGAAGCCGCGAGGUGGAGCUAAUCCCGAAAAGCCGGUCUCAGUCCGGAUCGGAGUCUGCAACUCGACUCCGUGAAGUCGGAAUCGCUAGUAAUCGUGAAUCAGAAUGUCACGGUGAAUACGUUCCCGGGCCUUGUACACACCGCCCGUCACACCAUGGGAGUGGACUGC
rnacentral:rRNA from 1 species